rnacentral:lncRNA from 1 species
UCUCAUGCCAAGCCGAAGCUGGACUAUACUGCUGCCAUCUCGGCUCACUGCAACCUCCCUGCCUGAUUCUCCUGCCUCAGCCUGCUGAGUGCCUGCAAUUGCAGGCACGCGCCGCCACGCCUGACUGGUUUUCGUAUUUUUUUGGUGGAGACGGGGUUUCGCUGUGUUGGCCGGGCUGGUCUCCAGCUCCUAACCACGAGUGAUCCGCCAGCCUCGGCCUCCCGAGGUGCCGGGAUUGCAGACGGAGUCUGGUUCACUCAGUGCUCAAUGGCGCCCAGGCUGGAGUGCAGUGGCGUGAUCUCGGCUCGCUACAACCUCCACCUCCCAGCCGCCUGCCUUGGCCUCCCGAAGUGCCGAGAUUGCAGCCUCUGCCCGGCCACCACCGCAUCUGGGAAGUGAGGAGCGUCUCUGCCUGGCCGCCCAUCGUCUGGGAUGUGAGGAGCCCCUCUGCCUGGCUGCCCAGUCUGGAAAGUGAGGAGCGUCUCCGCCCGGCCGCCAUCCCAUCUGGGAAGUGAGGAGCGCCUCUUCCCAGCCGCCAUCACAUCUAGGAAGUGAGGAGCGUCUCUGCCUGGCCGCCCAUCGUCUGGGAUGUGAGGAGCCCCUCUGCCCGGCCAGCCGCCCCGUCUGGGAGGGAGGUGGGGGGGUCAGCCCCCCGCCUGGCCAGCCGCCUCAUCCGGGAGGUGAGGGGUGCCUCUGCCCGGCCGCCCCUACUGG